AAACAACGAUGCAUAUGCAUCCGCCAGGGUACUACAAGCUCUAGCUUAAAACCCAAAGGACUUGGCGGCACCUCAAACCCACCUAGAGGAGCCUGUCCUAUAAUCGAUAAACCCCGCUAAACCUUGCCUCCCCUUGCCAAAACCGCCUAUAUACCACCGUCGUCAGCUUACCUCUCAAGAGAAUGAUAGCGAGCCCAAUGAGUAAAACUCAAAACGUCAGGUCAAGGUGUAGCGUAUGAGGAGGAAUGAGAUGGGCUACAUUUUCUGAACCAGAAAACUACGAAUAGUAUAAUGAAAUAAAUACAUACAGAAGGUGGAUUUAACAGUAAAAGAGGAACAGAGAGCCCC
rnacentral:rRNA from 1 species